rnacentral:rRNA from 1 species
ACGGAAGGCAGCAGUGGGGAAUAUUGGUCAAUGGGGGAAACCCUGAACCAGCGACGCCGCGUGAGUGAAGAAGUAUUUCGGUAUGUAAAGCUCUAUCAGCAGGGACGAUAAUGACGGUACCUGACUAAGAAGCCCCGGCUAACUACGUGCCAGCAGCCGCGGUAAUACGUAGGGGGCAAGCGUUAUCCGGAUUUACUGGGUGUAAAGGGAGCGUAGGUGGCCAUGCAAGUCAGAUGUGAAAUCCCGGGGCUCAACCCCGGAGCUGCAUUUGAAACUGCGUAGCUAGAGUACAGGAGAGGUAAGCGGAAUUCCUAGUGUAGCGGUGAAAUGCGUAGAUAUUAGGAGGAACACCAGUGGCGAAAGCGGCUUGCUGGACUGCAACUGACACUGAGGCUCGAAAGCGUGGGGAGCAAACAGGAUUAGAUACCCUGGUA